AACCGUUUAAAAUCACUUUACUCUUAUAUUUUUUUUACUUUCAGGAGGUUCGAGUUCUCACAUUUAGGUGUUAAAUCUGCGAUCUGUGUGUCCGGACUGUGUUGUUUCCAUGGCGACGGGGAGGACAUCGGCAAGUUGACCUCCGACCGAACUGUGACCGGAGCUUCUGCCGGGCUUCAGCUCCGGUUGACUCCCCGACGGUGACGUAGCAGCCGAGCCUCACCUCCGGUCACUCCAGACGCCAUAAAUCUGAAGGAAAGCAGCUCAGAGAGCUUCACCUUCACCGACGUGGGGCUUCUGAAGGAUCGCAUCCAUCAGCUCGGUGGGAACCGAAGCCGAGUCCGUCCGCCAGAGGAAGGGAAAACAAAUACGAGAAGGAAAAAAAAAAUCAAGAAGCAUGAGCUCAUCACCUCAGACUUGGACGGAGGGAAGUGCACUGAAUGUGGAGUUCACAUGUUUGCAGAACAGAACUUAAAGUGUUGCAGGAGCACUGGGAGCAGAGCAUCACUGCACGAGGAGAAUAACUCAGCAGAGAUGACAGCCAAUCAAAAAUGAAGUGUCUCAUGUGGCCCUGCAGCUUCUCCUCCUCCACCUCCUCCUGAAGCCUUCAUCUUCUUCAUCAUCAGCUGCUCAGUGACUCUGUUGGACGUCUCACCGCGUGGCAGCAGCUCAGGUCAGUGGUGAAGAUCCUCUUUAUCAGCUCCACACCCACAGACGUAGUGAACGCAGCGUCUGUUGUUGUGCUAAUAAGAAGCUGCAGCUGAGCAGCAGCAACUCUGUUCACUCCAGCCUCAGUCACACAUGGAGUCAGAGCAACACCCUGUCAGAGCUGAUUCCUCAAUGUUAGAUCUGAUUAAUCUCUCUCUAGUAACAGGUUAUGUACCACAGGCUUUUAAGGUUGCUGUAAUCAAACCUUUACUUAAAAAGCCCACUCUAGAUCCAGAUGUUUUAGCCAACUAUAGACCAGUUUCCAACCUCCCAUUUCUCUCCAAAAUUCUGGAAAGAACAGUUGCAAAUCAAUUAUGUGAACAUUUACAAAGGAAUAGCUUGUUUGAAGAGUUUCAGUCAGGCUUCAGAGUGCAUCAUAGCACAGAAACAGCUCUGGUGAAAGUUACUAAUGACCUUCUCAUAGCGUCAGAUAAUGGACUGGUCUCUAUACUUAUUUUAUUGGACCUUAGUGCAGCAUUCGAUACAAUCGACCACAAACUUUUAUUACAGCGACUAGAACAUUCUAUUGGCAUUAAAGGGACAGCACUGGACUGGUUUAAAUCCUACUUAUCAGACAGGUUCCAGUUUGUGCAUGUCAACAAUGACUCUUCUGAGCAUACUAGGGUUAAUCAUGGAGUUCCUCAGGGUUCUGUCUUAGGACCCAUACUGUUCACAUUAUACAUGCUUCCCUUAGGCAGUGGUGGUUUCACUGCAAGCAUCUACUGAUGUCACCAGGGAAGUAAAUAAAAAAAGAACUUUGCGCUCUUUGCGCUCUUUGCGCUCUUUGCGCUCU